CGAACGAACUCUGGUAUUGAUUGGUGCUUGCAUCAUGAUUUACAUUUGAGUGAGUGGCGAACUGGUGAGUAACACGUGGGAAACCUGCCCAGAAGCGGGGGAUAACACCUGGAAACAGAUGCUAAUACCGCAUAACAACUUGGACCGCAUGKUCSGAGYUUGAAAGAUGGCUUCGGCUAUCACUUYUGGAUGGUCCCGCGGCGUAUUAGCUAGAUGGUGAGGUAACGGCUCACCAUGGCAAUGAUACGUAGCCGACCUGAGAGGGUAAUCGGCCACAUUGGGACUGAGACACGGCCCAAACUCCUACGGGAGGCAGCAGURGGGAAUCUUCCACAAUGGACGAAAGUCUGAUGGAGCAACGCCGCGUGAGUGAAGAAGGGUUUCGGCUCGUAAAACUCUGUUGUUAAAGAAGAACAUAUCUGAGAGUAACUGUUCAGGUAUUGACGGUAUUUAACCAGAAAGCCACGGCUAACUACGUGCCAGCCGCCGCGGUAAUWCGGUCAUAGCUGUUUCC
rnacentral:rRNA from 2 species